AUGUGUCUUUGAAUAUACUGUUGAGGAGUCUCACUUGAGCUAAGGACUCUGAGGGAGGAGAUGGGAUUUCCAUUUCUUACUCUGCCAUUCACCUGCUGGGGGAACUCAGGAAUGCCUUCAUCUCCACAGGGCUCGGUUUUCUGAUGUGAAAUGGGCCAGUAAUACAGAUCCUGCUGCGACUGCCUUAUUGAGGGGGCCGAAUAAAAGCGAUCACAGAUGUGAAUGCAUUUUGAAAUGGAAAAUCUGUGUUUGCAGGUGAAUUUGGAACCAUCUUCAGAAUCAGGUUGCCGUGCAGUCUGUCAAUGUAUUGUAACUGAGACCUGCAAGAGCUCUUCUCACACCUGGGAACAUCAUGGUGACAUUGUGUCUGCCACCAGCUCCAGCCCCAGGAAGGGACAAUUUCAUCACCACCAACCCAAGAGCAUCUUCCAAGAGGAAUUGGAGCCCCUCAAAAAGUUGAAGUCUCUGAACAUCCCAUAGCCUGUUGUCUCCUGCUAUAGUCUGCCGAUAAUAUAUCCUUUGAGCUUAUCAGAGUAAUGUGUAACUUCCGUAAGAGUGAAGUUCAGAAAAUGCAUUUUUGACAAGUUUCUGAUGACAUCGUCCUCAUCUGUGAACCAAUCACUGUAGCCACAGAUAUGGGAUGUUCCAGUUGCUCAGGGCUGGUUCACAUGACUACCUGGGCCACUGCACAUGGCCACAAGGCGGAAACGAUUAUAGUGUUGGCUUUUUUUAAUAGUACGUUUCUUCUGGAAAACACUGAAGAGCUCCUAAGAGCAUGGAGUGUGGGAGUGGUGAUUCCACCAAGGAAAACCACAGUCUGUUGUCAGAAAAAGAGGAAAUGGAUGUUGAGCGGGGGAAAAAAAUGAAAAUCUAUAGUAAGCAUUGUUCUCCCAUUACUUCAUAUGUAUAAACCUUGCUUUUCCCAAAUCAAGUAUAAGCUCAUUCAUGAAAACAGAACUCAAUAUCUAACUAAUAAUCAAUAUAUUCUUAUUGAUUAGUCAAAAGCAAAUAUUUAUUGGGCAUCCACAGAGAACAAGAUGCUAUGAUGCUUAGAGAAAUCUUAAAGAUCCAGAUUUGAGACUUUAGUUUAAGUGCAACAAACAAAUCCUGAAUAUCCACUGCAUGUCAAACACAGUGCUAGUGCUACGGAUGCAAAGUUGUAUAUGAUACAACCCCCACCCUUAAAAAUCCUCCCUUAGCAGAGUAAAAACAGCAAUACUAACAUUUAUGGAGUGUCUACUAUGUGCCUAUAUUCCAUAUACAUUAAUCUUAAGUCUUAGUACAACCCAUGCAAAGUAUGAUAUAUUUAUUUUAAUAUGAUUUUACUGAAUACCAGAGAAUGACACUUCAAACCUGAUAGUCAAACUUAGAGGUCAAACAAAAUGUUAAGAAUGUGCAGUUAAUUAGUAGAGUGGAGAAAUCUGGUUAUGAGGUGGCUCAGAAUUGGUUCUUAUAAUCUAGAUAUGUAGAUAGUAAAAUAGAUUUUAAAAAUCCAUUGCACAAGUACUUUUCGCAGGCUUUCUUUUCUGAAGAAUUCUGAAAAGCCCUUAAGACCUCAUUGCUUGUCUCUGUAAACACAUUCACACACCCUUCUUUAAUCUUACUAUUCAAUGAAUUGCAUCCUCAACCUUUUUCUGUAUGAAUUUCAAAGCUACUCAACCUGUUAGAGGAGCUCAGUGCCAGAUAAAUACGAUGUAUUAUAAUUACUAUUUUGGCCAUAAGUCUUUUUUUUCCUAUAAUGGAGCAUACUCUUUGUGGCCACUGAACCCUACUUCUGGUUGAUUAGGCUCUUAGUAUUUAAUAAGCUUCAACAGGAAAUGAGUAGAAUUAGUACAGAGUCUUGAAUAAUGAGCUGUUAAUGUAUUUUUAAUGACCAAGAUGUUCCAACAAGAAACUUGUUGAUUUUUGUCACUAAAACAUUAUUGGAAAAAUGAUCUGCACGUAGCCUGGCUGGUGUUUUAUGUGAAGUGAGAUGAUGUUUUACUACAUUUCGAGUACUCUUUUACAAGCCAACUUGAUUUAGGGAAGUUGUUGCAGGAAGAGGAAAGAGCUUAGCAAUUAGAACUGAGUAUAAACUGUAAUAUUUUUUAGGAUUUCAGUCACAGAAAAAAAUGUAUUUCUUUUUUUUUUUUUCUUAGAUGGAGUCUUGCUCUGUUGCUCUGGCUGGAGUGCAGUGGCGUGAUCUCGGCUCACUGCAACCUCUGCCUCCUGGGUUCAAGCAAUUCUCCUACCUCAGCCUCCCAAGUAGCUGGGAUUACCGGCACCCAGCACCGCGCCAGGCUAAUUUUUGUAUUUUUAGAAGAGACGGGGUUUCACCAUGUUGACCAGACUGGUCUCGAACUCCUGACCUCGUGAUUCACCCACCUUGACCUCCCAAAGUGCUGGGAUUCCAGGCAUGAGCCACCGCUCCCAGCCAGAAAUAUAUUUCUUAUAGAGGAUCUUACUUUGUCUUUUUUGUUCCUUGCUUGAUAGUAGUUAUUAACCCGUUUUACAGAUAGACAAAGUGGAAAAGCUUGUUCUGCUUUUUUUUUUCUGUAAAAUAGAAGGAUCAUUUCUG
rnacentral:lncRNA from 10 species